rnacentral:misc_RNA from 1 species
AACGCACGAGACCUGCGGACCUGCGGAGGGAUCAUUACCGAGUGUUUCUACUCUAAACCCACUGUGAACCUUACCACUGUCGUUGCUUCGGCGGGCGUCCGCGCCCGCCGGCAGCACCCAAACUCUUGAUUUUUAGCAUGCCUCUCUGAGUACUAAAGACAAAACAAUCAAAACUUUUAGCAAUGGAUCUCU